AGUCUCCGUGGCUUAGUCGGGAGAACACCCGACUAUAGUGCGGUAGGAUUCGGGUUCGAACCCCGAUGUGAUGA